rnacentral:lncRNA from 1 species
AUGAUUUACCGUAGUUUCUCUUUCAUUGUUGACAUUCUUUUUCUUUAAAUAACCAGUACACGUACAAUUCAUGCGUUGUCAAUCUCUAGCUAGGGGUUAAAUUGAAGUUCACAUGAAUAUGGAUUUAAAGAGGUCGACUCAUUCACUUGCAAGUGAAUUACUAAUUAUCAAUGUUUCUUGGCGUAAUUUGACAAAAUUGAACCUUUUUGGCUGCAUAAAGCGAAUUGUUAUUUCACUAUUUCACUUUCAUUAUUGAUUGAACAGAAAAAACUCAAACUUUAGAUUUUUUAUAUAUCUCGUAGCUAGUGCCCCUUUAAAGCAAAUUUAAAAUUAUUAUCAUAUGUUAUGAAAUUUUUUAAUAUUUAUAUUUGAGUUUUUAUUCAAAGACUAUGUGCUAGAGUCCAAGGGGUUCACUUCAAAUAAUUGGGUUAAGGGGAUGUGACAAAAGUAUGG